rnacentral:rRNA from 1 species
UCGAGAAUCUUCGGCAAUGGACGCAAGUCUGACCGAGCGACGCCGCGUGCGGGAUGAAGGUCUUCGGAUUGUAAACCGCUGUCAGAGGGGAUGAAGUGUAUGGGGGUACUCCCCUGUACUUGACAGAGCCUCAGAGGAAGCACGGGCUAAGUUCGUGCCAGCAGCCGCGGUAAUACGAACUGUGCGAACGUUAUUCGGAAUCACUGGGCUUAAAGGGUGCGUAGGCGGUUAUCUAAGUCAGGUGUGAAAUCUCUCGGCUCAACCGGGAAACUGCGCUUGAAACUGGGUGACUGGAGUGAUGCAGGGGUGUGUGGAACUUCCGGUGGAGCGGUGAAAUGUGUAGAUAUCGGAAGGAACGCCAGCAGCGAAAGCGGCACACUGGGCAUUUUCUGACGCUGAGGCACGAAAGCUAGGGGAGUGAACGGGAUUAGAUACCCCCGUAGUCC